rfam:Astyanax mexicanus chromosome 6, whole genome shotgun sequence.
GCAGGUAUGGAGACAUGGUUCCGAACACCAUCGCUGGGAAGAUCUUCGGCUCGAUCUGUUCUCUGAGUGGUGUGCUGGUGAUCGCACUGCCUGUUCCCGUCAUCGUCUCCAAC